UUUAUUUAUUAAAGGCAUAUUGCAAUUCAAAGUAAUAAAUAAGGGUUGUGGUACCAUUUUUAUUUAUUGUUAGUUCAACAAAAAUUAAUGAUUUUAGCGAAUAUCACAUAAAGAAUAAUAUUUACCUCCUAAAAAUAUGAAAAGUGUAAAAGUAAUGAAUAAAUUAUGUCUUUGUAAUUAUAAACAUCCAGUUUAACAGUGAAAAGUGAAUUGUUACAAGAUAUGGAUGGAAUAAGGCAUUUUUUUUCAAAAGAACGUAAUAUAAAAAAUGAGUCCACAAAAGAAGAUAGUGUUAUAAAAACGGACAUAGAAGAUAGUAUAUUUGAACAGGAAAUUGGGCUUAAUAACGAGACUUGGCGUGAUGGGGAAGAUAAUGUAGAAAAUGAACUAUUAAAUUUAAGUGAUUUAAAAAAAGAAACCACUAUUAACCAAGGAGCAAAGGUUAUUUUUAAAGAUAAUGUUGAACUAUCUGAUGAGGCAUGGUGCUUUCCUGGUAAAGAAGAUGAUAAACAAAACGAGCUUUUACAUUUAACUGAUAUAGAAGAAGUCAUGGUAAAAAAAGAGGUAGACGAUAAUAUUUUUGAAGUUCCAAAUUUGAAUACAGAAACCAAGACAAAGUUUAAAUGUGAUAUUUGUCAUAUAACUGUUACUCACAAAUCAUACUUGGAAAACUAUUCAAGAACAUGCACAGAAGAAAAACAACUCAAAUGUGAAACCUGUGAACAGAGAUUUUCUCAAAAUACUCAAAGUUCACAGGAGAUAGGUGAUAUUGUUAUUGAAACUCAUAAUGAGCAAAAUCCAUUAAAUCAAAGGCACACUGUAUCAGUCAGAGUGGACAAUAAGGAUGUUCUAAAAAAGGCGCGCCAACAAAGAUAUCGUGAAAGGCACCGUGAAGAAAAGCGUAAAGGAGAACAACACAUCUCAACAGAACAUAUUACUGAAGUAACACCAGAUGAUCAGUUAAGUGGAAAUUGUUCAAAACUUGAACAACAGCAAAUUCUGAACUCUCGUAAAAUUAAUUCCGUUGCUAUUUUAGUGGAUAAUGGGUUUUCUCGGUUAACAUAUAACGAGAAAAUUGCAGUAAAAAAUCUUAAACGACCAAUGCCUAUGUUAAAUUUGGAAAAUAAACAAUCUGUUAAAGGUAAAGGCAUUGUAAGAAAAUUCAAACUUGAUAUUUAUCAGAAAAAUGACUGGAUUUGUGGAUGCGACGUUAAAAAUGCUUUAUUUUGCUUUCCGUGUCUUCUUUUUGGUGGUGAACCAUCUUGGUCGAAAAACGGUAUAAGAGAUUUAGUGCAUCUUAGUGCUAAAAUCAGCAAACAUGAAAAUUCCGAAGGGCAUUUGAAUAAUGCUUUUGAUCUAAGAAUGUUAGGAAAAAACAUUCAAAAUGUUUUGGAUUCAUCGUAUAGAAGAGCAGUUCAAAACCAUAAUGAAGAGGUAACAAAAAAUAGGCAUGUUUUAAAUUUAAUAAUAAAUUGCAUCAGAUUUUGCGGCGCGUUUGAACUAGCGCUACGGAGUCCUAACGAACGGCAAACAUCGAACAGCAAGGGAAUUUUUAGAGAAUUAAUAAAUUUUACAGGAGAAUUGGAUAAAUCACUCAGGGAUCACAUCGAAGCAGCACCGGUUUUUAAGGGAUUGUCAAAAACAAUACAGAAUGAGCUGCUUGACGCAAUGUUGAACGUGUAUCAUGAACAAGUUGUCAAUGAAAUUAGAACAACCGACUAUGUAGCUGUGAUUAUCAGUGUAAUAGCUGAUGAAACCACGGAUGUUUCCAAUCAGUUUCAGUUGGUGUUUGUUUUAAGAUACAUAGUGAAUGGGAGACCAGUCGAAAGAUUUUGGAAAUUUCUUCAGCCUAGUGGACAUGAUGCUACUUCAUUAUCUGCCUGUAUCCUUAACGAAAUGAAUUUACUUAUUAAUGAUCCAAAAAAACUUAUUGCGCAGAGCUAUGAUGGAACAGCAGUCAUGAGUGGUGCAAUUAACGGCGUACAAGGACACGUCCAAGACCAGUAUCCAAUGGCUAAUUUUGUACAUUGUUAUUCACAUCAGACGAAUUUAAUUAUGUCACAAGCUACAUCAAGCAAUAGUAACUGCAAAAUUUUUUUUGCCAAUCUGACAGGAUUAUGUACUUUUUUUUCUACUUCGCCGCAACGAGCAGCAAGAUUGGAAGAAUUUCUUCACAAAAAAGGCUUAUCUCGUACUUCAAAAAUAAAAUGGAAUUUCAAUUCUAAGAUGGUAAAUACUGUGUAUAUCCACCGAGAAGAGUUAAUUGAAGCUCUAGAAGAAAUUGAAAGAGAGGCAAAUUUACAAACUACCAUUCAGCAGGCGGGUGCUCAUUUGCGAAUUUUAGAAGAUGAGAAUUUUAUCUAUUGGUUAACAUUCUUUCAUAAAAUUAUGCCACAUGUGGACAUAUUGUUUAAUAAAUUGCAAAAAGCCACUACAAAUGCAUUAAAAAUCAAGAAUAAUUUAGAUGAUUUUGAACGUGCCAUUAAAAAAAUUCGAACCGAAAUCGCUGACACAGAUAAUCAGUUCGUUGAACAAAAUGACUCAGAACUAAACCCUCGGCCAUCAAAGCGGCGAAGAGUGAACGGAAGUGAAAGAAGGAGAGAAGCUAUUGAAGUGUGUGAUAUUAUUUUAUUAGAAAUAAAAACUAGAUUUCAGUUUACAGGGCACUUAAUAUUAUCAAACUUAGUUUCUUUUAAACAGUUCUCCUCAUUUGAAAAAAGGUUCCCGGAAGAUUGCCUCAAAGAAGCAGUAAAAUUUUAUCCAUGUCUCAAUGAAAGCAGGCUACGAAUUGAAUUAAGCGUUCUAUAUUCUAGAGAAGAAUUUAGACAAAAUUCAGAAACCAGUGCUGUAGGUCUACUGGGUCUUCUACUGGAUGGUUUAAGCAACACUUUCUAUGAAGUCAUAAAGCUUUUAAAAAUUAUCAUUACAAUCCCAAUGACAACGUCCGAAACGGAACGCCAAUUUUCUCAGCUGAAAAGAAUAAAAACUUUCCUCAGAAAUACAAUGAAAGAAGACAGAUUAAAUGCUCUCACUAUGUUAUCAUGUGAAAAAGAAUUUAUAAAUGACUUCCAAAACUUUAAUGAAAAAGUGAUAGAACUGUUCUGUAAGUCAAACCCCGGGUUUAACUUUUCAGUAGCGGCUCUCUAAUAAAAGCAAGUGAAAGAUAAAAGUAAACCUAAGUAGCUCUUAUUACGUAUUUUUGGUUUACCAGUCGUUUAGGUCGGCCAAUGGGCACUCGGCGGCCGCCCCAACUCGGAUGAGCACAGACAGAUCAUUAAUCCGUUAAGCCUUUAACAUUACACCGAGGGUGGGUUUGUUUUGAGAAUAUAAUUUCGAAAACAAUUUUGAAAUUAUGCACUGUAAUUAGACUCUUUGUGAAAUAUCCCGAGCCGCCACUUUCAAUUUCAAAUGUAUAUUUAUUGGUAAAUGUUAUUAUUUAAAACCAAAAUUGUAACAUUAGAGUGGAUAAUAAGUGCAGUACAGAAAAAUGCAACGCAAGCAAUACAACAAAUUAAUGAAACAACACCAAAUGACCAGUUAUUGAACAUAAUAAGAGAAUGCGUUGUGGUUGACCAAUGUUUAAUGCUAGGUACUAGAAUGCAUUGCUAGUUACGUUUAAUUUUUAUCUCAUAUUAUUCAGUAAAUUUUAUUUUUUCAGAGGUGGUUUAAAGCAUCAAGUUUUAUCAAAAAUCCGACCUGCCCAGACACUUGGGUCCAUACAGGAAUGUAUGAGUGUCAUGUGUGUCAGAAGAGUAUUCAUUUGAGGAGAUAAUCUCUAAUAAAAAAAUUAUUUACGAAGGUUUUUGUAGAAUCUGUAAAAAGCAUACACUUGUACUUUAUAUGCAAAAUUUUAUACAGUAUGUACAUGUACCUACACAUGUAAAAAUAUAUUUUUAAGAACUGA